rnacentral:rRNA from 1 species
UGGGGAAUUUUGGACAAUGGGCGAAAGCCUGAUCCAGCAAUGCCGCGUGUGUGAAGAAGGCCUUCGGGUUGUAAAGCACUUUUUGUCCGGAAAGAAAUCCUUGGCUCUAAGUACAGUCGGGGGAUGACGGUACCGGAAGAAUAAGCACCGGCUAACUACGUGCCAGCAGCCGCGGUAAUACGUAGGGUGCAAGCGUUAAUCGGAAUUACUGGGCGUAAAGCGUGCGCAGGCGGUUUUGCUAAGACCGAUGUGAAAUCCCCGGGCAUCAACCUGGGAACUGCAUUGGUGACUGGCAGGCUAGAGUAUGGCAGAGGGGGGUAGAAUUCCACGUGUAGCAGUGAAAUGCGUAGAGAUGUGGAGGAAUACCGAUGGCGAAAGGCAGCCCCCUGGGCCAAAUACUGACGCUCAUGCACGAAAAGCGUGGGGGGAGCAAAACAGGAUUAGAUACCCCUGGGUAGUCCACGCCCCUAAAACGAUGUCAACUAGGUUGUUGGGGAUUCAUUUCCUUAGUAACGUAGCU